ACCUUCGUGGUGUAACGGUUAACACACUCGGUACGUAUUCGAGAGGUACAGGUUCGAGUCCCGGAGAGGGUA
rnacentral:tRNA from 1 species